UCAUCCACGAGAGCGGUCUGGAGUCGCUGAGACAACUGGAACGGCAGAUGCUGGAGCAUCGGAUAUAACACGGUGUGCAGCCAGAUGAACACAGCAGGUCAAGCAGCAUCAGAGGAGCAGGAAAGCUGACGUUUCCGGCCUAGAUCCUUCGCUGAGACCAAGAUUUAUGCAAUUGAGAUACUAGCGAUCAUUGCCAAAGCCCUGUUGCCUGUGGAGAAGUUUAACCUUCGUGUCCUGCUGCAGUUUGUAUGAUGAAGGUGCUCCCACAAUGCGGCCAUUUGAGAAGUUACAGAUCAUUCAUCUAGCAAUACUGAAGAGCUGAUGGUAUUUCCACAAUUUUACUUCUGCACUGUUCUUAACCUUUCAAUCCCUCUGAAAGACUGAGUUACAGAUUUAUACAAUGCCUGUCCUUCCUCCCUGGCUCUCCCACCUCUCUUUCGGUAAUUUUGUGUAAACACUGACUGACUGAAUACCUUACCUGGAGGAUAUUUAUGAAUGGAUUUGUUCUAAUGAUAAUCCAACAUGUUUUCCAAGUGUCGCUCCACAAAUGUCCAGAGGAUUUCUCAGUUUCACAGUCUGUUUUCUCUUCUGGUUUCUCACUCAUUGCACUUACUUUCUGUGUGAUAGCUUAGUCUGCAGUUAGAGAAUUCAAACUGUUCCACAUCCAGGUCUGACAGUCACUUUGUUUAUCACAACCCAAUUAUCUCAGGAUUUUGAACAUUGAAGGAGAAAGCAGCACUCACACUUUGGAGAAAUACAAAUGGUUUGUGUGUAAAAGAGUCUGUGAAGAUUCAUCUGAAAUGUUCUAACACCAGCGCAGUGACUCUGGGGAGAGACUGUGGAAAUGGGCAGAUUGCAAGAAGGAACUUCUUCAUCCAUCCCACCUAGAAACUGACCACCAGAGUCACACUGGAGAGAAACCAUUCACCUGCUCUGAUUGUGGUAUGGGAUUCACUCAGUCAUCUAACCUGCUUAAACACCAGGGAGCUCUCACUGGAUAGAAACCAUUCACUUGCUUGGAAUGUGGGAAACAAUUCACUCAGACAACUCACCUGCUGAUACACCAGCAAAUUGACACUGGAGAGAGACCAUUGGCCUGUUGUGUGUGGGAAAGUUUUUCUGACUCGAAUUCCCCUCUGACACACCAGCAAAUUCACUCUUGGGAGAGAGCAUUCGUGAGCUGAGUGUGGGAAAGCAUUCACUCAGUCGUCCAAACAGUCACAAAGAACCACGGUUGAAGCAUUUUGCUAUCACUCUCACGAUCAAAUGAACCAUAGUUUUGGGCUGUUUGUACUGCUGUUACUAAUCCCAGCUCAAUUAAAGGUGCUGGUAUUGUGAAUAAAAUGUUAAUAACAGUUGUAUAUCUGUCAGGUGGAGCUUGGAAAUAGUCACGUCACGACACAUUCACACUGACUAAAGACUAUCCACCAGCACAGUAUGUGA